rnacentral:rRNA from 1 species
CGCGUAGGCGGUUUGGUAAGUCAGAUGUGAAAGCCCUGGGCUCAACCUGGGAAUUGCAUUUGAUACUGCUAGGCUAGAGUAUGGUAGAGGGAAGUGGAAUUCCAGGUGUAGCGGUGAAAUGCGUAGAUAUCUGGAGGAACAUCAGUGGCGAAGGCGACUUCCUGGACCAAUACUGACGCUGAGGUGCGAAAGCGUGGGUAGCAAACA